GACGAACGCUGGCGGCGUGCUUAACACAUGCAAGUCGAACGGAAAGGCCCUGCUUUUGUGGGGUGCUCGAGUGGCGAACGGGUGAGUAACACGUGAGUAACCUGCCCUUGACUUUGGGAUAACUUCAGGAAACUGGGGCUAAUACCGGAUAGGAGCUCCUGCUGCAUGGUGGGGGUUGGAAAGUUUCGGCGGUUGGGGAUGGACUCGCGGCUUAUCAGCUUGUUGGUGGGGUAGUGGCUUACCAAGGCUUUGACGGGUAGCCGGCCUGAGAGGGUGACCGGCCACAUUGGGACUGGGAUACGGCCCAGACUCCUACGGGAGGCAGCAGUGGGGAAUAUUGCACAAUGGGCGGAAGCCUGAUGCAGCAACGCCGCGUGCGGGAUGACGGCCUUCGGGUGGUAAACCGCUUUCGCCUGUGACGAAGCGUGAGUGACGGUAAUGGGUAAAGAAGCACCGGCUAACUACGU
rnacentral:rRNA from 1 species